GUGAAUCAUUGAAUCUUUGAACGCAUAUUGCACUCUCUGGUAUUCCGGAGAGUAUGCCUGUUUGAGGGUAAUUAAAAAUAAUCUUUGACCAGUUUUUUUUGGUCAGAGGAGAUGAGCUCUCCGCGGUUAUAGCGGUCUCUGGAAAUAAAUGGUCAAGUCUCGUUUUAGUCGAGACGCGUAAUAAUAUUAUUUCUCGAGAUCGUCAUUGUGUGACUAUCAUGUUUUUAUGCAUACAAAU
rnacentral:misc_RNA from 1 species